rnacentral:rRNA from 1 species
AGAGUUUGAUCCUGGCUCAGAUUGAACGCUGGCGGCAUGCUUUACACAUGCAAGCCGAACGGCAGCACGGGGGCGAACCCUCGGUGGCGAGUGGCGAACGGGUAGGGUAAGUGCAUCGGAACGUAUCCUUGAGUGGGGAGUAACGCAGCGAAAGUUGUUGCUAAUACCGCAUAAGCUCUGAGGAGGAAAGCGGGGCCGGAAAGGCCUCGCGCUGAAGGAGCGGCCGAUGUCCGAUUAGCUAGUUGGUGAGGUAAAGGCUUACCAAGGCGACGAUCGGUAGCUGGUCUGAGAGGAUGAUCAGCCACACUGGGACUGAGACACGGCCCAGACUCCUACGGGAGGCGAC